rnacentral:lncRNA from 1 species
UCGGCCAUAGCAUGGCACCCGACGUGCGGCAUGCCGUGGUCGCCAAGGAGGAGGAGUGCUGCCAGACGCAGCUGCCCCUCAAUGAAAACGACUCCCAGGACAUGGUCCUCUUUGAGGUCCUCUCCGAGGCGUCCGCUAUGGCCUCCUCCUCCUCCUCAUCCGCCGCCUCCUCCGCCGUGGAGCAACCGUCGUUGUCUUUUCCGGCUGCGGCAGGCGACGCGGGCUUCAUCUGCAACUGUGCCCGGCCGACGGGGCACUUCAGGAAGUACCGGGGGGUGCGGCGGCGGCCGUGGGGCAAGUUCGCGGCGGAG